AGCAUCACGCCGGGGUGUCCGCAUCGUGCGGGCUGAGAUCAUACCCGUAGAACCUGCCUGGGUCAUGCCAGCGAAGGGAGAGCGCCAAUGAGCCUC
rnacentral:ncRNA from 2 species